rnacentral:rRNA from 1 species
CAGUCGCCACGGUAAUACAGAGGGUGCGAGCGUUAAUCGGAUUUACUGUGCGUAAAGCGUGCGUAGGCGGCUUCUUAAGUCGGAUGUGAAAUCCCUGAGCUUAACUUAGGAAUUGCAUUCGAUACUGGGAAGCUAGAGUAUGGGAGAGGAUGGUAGAAUUCCAGGUGUAGCUGUGAAAUGCGUAGAGAUCUGGAGGAAUACCGAUGGCGAAGGCAGCCAUCUGGCCUAAUACUGACGCUGAGGUACGAAAGCAUGGGGAGCAAACAGGAUUAGAUACCCCAGUAGUCCCUGUCUCUUAUAC